rnacentral:lncRNA from 1 species
UCUAUUAUUAUUUCUUUUUCUGCUAUAUUUUUAAUAUUUAUUAAACUUCUUGGUAGAUCUGGACAUAUAUCAUUAUCAAUUUUUAUUUCUUCAUUUUUUACUAGAUAUUUUGCUAUAUAAUUUUCUUCUUGUCCUGUAUUUAAGAGUAUUAAAUAUUCUUUUUCAUUUACCUUUCCUAUUAUGUAAUAUUGAUUUAAAUUAUUUGUUGAAUUUGUUUCAUAACUUGUUCUUUUU